rnacentral:rRNA from 1 species
UUGAACGCUGGCGGCAUGCCUUACCCAUGCCAGUCGCACGGUAACAGGUCUUCGGAUGCUGACGAGUGGCGAACGGGUGAGUAAUACAUCGGAACGUGCCCAGACGUGGGGGAUAACGAGGCGAAAGCUUUGCUAAUACCGCAUACGAUCUAAGGAUGAAAGCAGGGGACCGCAAGGCCUUGCGCGUUUGGAGCGGCCGAUGGCAGAUUAGGUAGUUGGUGGGAUAAAAGCUUACCAAGCCGACGAUCUGUAGCUGGUCUGAGAGGACGACCAGCCACACUGGGACUGAGACACGGCCCAGACUCCUACGGGAGGCAGCAGUGGGGAAUUUUGGACAAUGGGCGAAAGCCUGAUCCAGCAAUGCCGCGUGCAGGAUGAAGGCCUUCGGGUUGUAAACUGCUUUUGUACGGAACGAAAAGGCUCUGGCUAAUACCUGGGGCACAUGACGGUACCGUAAGAAUAAGCACCGGCUAACUACGUG